ACCUGUGCCAAUUCAACAUGCAGAUCCACCUUGGAUUUGCUGUGGCAACCCCGAGUGCAAACAAGGGAGCAGCCGAAGGGACCCACUACCCCAGUAAAGGGGUGUGUCAAAUUGUUGACACAGCUACCAUCAAGUCAAUAAAAUUUAUUUUACAAAUUUAAGAUUUGUAUCAUUAACACUUCUGUCUUCAAAUUAUUAAGAUUUGUGUCAUCGGAUUGAGAUAUUUAUCAGAUUACCUAUCAAAUCUAAGAUUUCUAUUGUUAGAACAUUAACACUUGCCAUCAAAUCAUUAAGAUUUCUGUAAUCAUUUUAGAUAUUUAUCAUCAAAUGUUUAGAUGUCUUUCAUCAAAUCAUUAAGAUUUCUGUAAUCAGACGAAGACUUCCAUCAUGGGAUCUUUAGGUUUUGUAAGAUUGUUCUCAAGUGUAAAUCAUCAAUUCAUGAAGAGCUCUGACAUAGAUAUAAAAUUUAUUUUAAGAUUAAGAUUUAUGUUGACAGAUUAAAAUGUUUGUCAUCAAGUCUUUAAGAUUUCUACGUAUAAUCAGACUAAGACUUACAUCAUGAGAUGUUUAGGUUUUAUCAGAUUGUUCAAGUGUAAGUCAUCGAAUCAUGAAGAGUUCUGACGUAAUUAUAACAUUUAUUUUAAGAUUUUUGUUGACAGAUUAUUAAAAUUUUAGUCUGAUCAUAGAACUCUUAAGGAUUUGAUGACAAAGACUUCCAUCAUGGGAUCUUCAGGUUUUGUAAGAUUGUUAAAAUUACUAAAUCACAAAGAAUUCUGUUGAUAGAUUUACUAUGUUAACAGAUUAUUAAAAUAUCUGUCCUCAAAUCAUUAUGAUUUCUGUCACCAGGUUAAGACAGUUCUGAUUGUUCAGUCAUUUGCCAUGAUAUCAUUAACAAUUCUUUAAUUCAAGAUUUCUAUUGUGAGAUCAUUAGCACAUCAAAUAUUAAGAUUUCUGUAAUCAUUUUAAGAUAUUUAUCACAUUGUAGACACACACAUCUGUCAUCAAAUCAUUAUGAUUUCUAUAAUCAGAUUAAGACUUACAACAUGAGUUCUUUAAACUUUGUCAGAUUGUUAAAACAUAAAUCAUCAAAUCAUGAUGAACUUUUCUAUCAUUGAUUUGUUAAAAUUUCUGCCAUGAGAUCAUUAAGACUUUUUGUUAAACUUAAACAGCUAUUGAUGAGGAUUCUGCCUUUGAUCAAUAUUCCUGAUUAUGGGAUUGAAGGAUUAAGAUAUAGAGAUUAAAGGUCAGAUCCACCCCUUGAUCUGGAUCUGUACCAAAAUUUACUUGACCCAAGGUCUAUGUCUGCACCAGAUGUCUUUGAAGUGUAUUCACGUCUUUUUGGGAUGUCCUCCUGACAAUCACAUGGAGUGCACUUCACGUUACACCACUGUCAUGAACAUAAAUUGCACCUUCCAGCUUCUUCCUAUAGCUAGCUGACGACUUGGUGGCGUGUACCACCAAAGUGAUUUUGAAGUUGAAAAUUGAUACAUAAUGUUUCUUAAAUGCCGCAAACUAAACUAAAAGGUUCCUACUUGAAAAUGCUUUUAUAUUAGCUUGCUGUACAUCUACAUUUUAAAUAUAAAGGACUGAUUAAGUUAUUUG